CAAUCGAUGAUGACUCCCAUAAAUUCAUUCCUUUGAAAUCUGAACAAAAUGAGUGGGCAAUCUCCAUCAUCUCCUCAUUGAAACUGAAGUCC
ensembl:snoRNA SNORD116 Small nucleolar RNA SNORD116